GCCGGGAACGGCGCCGGUUACUAGAAAGCCGGGGAGGCGGGGCCUGGUCGGGUGGAGGGCGCGGCCGGCCGGCAGAGCGCUAGCCUUAGGUCCUGGAGGCUCUUUGGCUUUCCCCCCGUAUGCCGGGGGCUAGGAGGAGGAAGAAGAGCUUCCUGCCGGAUGAGGGAUCCAGAGGCCAGAAAAGGAACCCGCUCUCCCUUCCAAAGCAAAACACUGCCGACGCCAGCUUAGAUUUUUCGGGUGUUGGCAGGAGACUUUUUCCCCCAGUGGCAUCAUUCGUGUUUCCUCUCCUGGUGCUGGGAGAGAAGAGUUGCAAAGGCGCCUGGACCGCCAGUAACAUCUUCUCCCAUCUCCUGAGGGAGCGCGGCUUGGGUUGCUUCUUCUUGGUGGGUGGGCCUGGGGAGACAGGGCAUGCGCCCUCGGCCAGAGGAGGGAAGCGAAAGGAGGUCGGGAUUUAUUUGCUCAUUUGGAGAUUUUUCCCUUGCCCUUUUAUUAAAAAUCAAGUGACAGUGUAAUGGAAGAUGGAGAAUGAAGCAUCAGAAAUAAACCAGGACCCUAAUUUGCAUGGAUUUCCUCGUUGGAACAACGUGUGACUACUACUUAUCUUCGGGAAAUUACUUAUCUUGAUGCGUUAAGGCACAUUUGGUCCACAUGAGAAAGCACAUUUCAGUGCUUCUACUGGAAAAGAGAUCUUUACAGUCUUAAUUCCUAGUAAUUCCUAUGUUUUAAUGAAUAUCUUUUGGAUUUGAAAUAAAAGCCAUCUUUUUCUUUCAAAAAA
rnacentral:lncRNA from 1 species